CCUCCAACACCAAUUUACAGUCCUCCAAUAAAACCACCUCCAGUCCAUAAACCUCCGGCACCAACUUAUAGUCCUCCUAUAAAGCUACCACCAGUUCAGAAACCUCCAACACCAAGUUACAGUCCGCCAAUUAAACCCCCACCAGUGAAGCCUCCGACACCAACAUACAGUCCACCUAUCAAGCCACCGCCAGUUCAAAAGCCUCCCACACCAACGUACAGUCCCCCGGUAAAGCCACCACCAGUGCAAAAGCCUCCGACACCAAUUUAUAGUCCACCCGUUAAGCCACCACCAGUGCAAAAGCCUCCGACACCAAUUUAUAGUCCACCCGUUAAGCCACCACCAGUGCAAAAGCCUCCGACACCAACUUACAGUCCACCAAUUAAACCACCACCUGUGAAGCCUCCAACACCAACAUAUAGUCCACCUGUUAAGCCACCACCAAUACAUAAGCCUCCGACACCUACUUAUAGCCCACCUAUUAAGCCACCACCAGUGCAGAAGCCUCCGACACCAAUUUACAGUCCUCCGAUCAAGCCACCACCGGUGCACAAGCCUCCUACACCAACUUAUAGUCCCCCUAUAAAACCACCACCUGUACAUAAGCCUCCGACACCGAUUUACAGUCCUCCGAUCAAGCCACCACCGGUGCACAAGCCUCCAACACCAUCUUAUAGUCCUCCUGUUAAACCACCACCUGUACAUAAGCCUCCGACACCAACUUACAGUCCCCCUAUCAAGCCACCACCAAUUCAAAAGCCUCCCACACCUACGUACAGUCCCCCUAUAAAGCCACCACCAGUCCAAAAGCCUCCAACACCAACUUACAGUCCACCUGUCAAGCCACCACCAGUGCAAAAACCUCCUACACCAACUUAUAGUCCUCCUAUUAAACCACCACCAGUACAAGUACCUCCAACACCAACUACUCCAUCACCUCCACAAGGUGGAUAUGGUACUCCUCCUCCAUAUGCAUAUUUAUUGCAUCCUAUAGACAUAAGCAAUUAGGUAAACAAGAUACAAUACAUAUAUUUUCUCAAGGAUAGUCAAAUAGGCUUUCAAGCACAAGAGAAGUGUAUGUUAAAGCUAUAUAUGGUACUGCAUAUUAUGCAGUAAAUAAAUAAAGUUCUAUAAAUGGUUGUUAAUAUAUAUGUUACAGUCGAUCUCGUUGUUAUGCCACUCUUUGAGUUGAAGUGUUUUCAUGUACGCAUUUUCUAAAAUCUAACAAGGAAAAUAAAUUUCCGUGGCCGUAAAUAAACCUCAAGUAAACUAUCUCGAUACCUUUUGUAUUAAAGUUAAAACUUGAUGAAUUCCAUUAGCAUAUUUUGGCAGCUCAAUAUUUAACUGCUGUUAUAUACAAAUCUAACGAGACAAUAAUAAAAUCAUAAAUUAGAGACAACAUCUACCAAACAC
rnacentral:lncRNA from 1 species